AUCCGAGAGUGAAGGUUGUAGACUGUUUAAUUAGUUUGGUACGGCGGAAGUUGAGCCUAGGCUAGCUUAGCUAGUGGAUGAUGGAUGAUUCUAGGGUUUGGUUGGGUUGGUUGUGUUCCUCUCCUGCGUGGGUUUAAAAAGAAGUCUAGUUAGUAUAAUGAAUGUCAUCGUUGAGUAUGAUCAGUUUAACCGAUGAUGUUGGCGCCGGUCGGUCGGGCGGAUCUAUGAUGGAAAUAGUGGAUUCGGUUGUUGGUUGAUGGUCUGGUCUGGUAUGGUACGGUAUGGUAUGAUGUAGUUAUAGGCAGCAGCAAUGAGCAACUUGUUUGUAGCUAGUCUCUUUCUUGGUUGCAGACAGACAGACAGACAAACUUUGACAGUUUUGUUUUCCUUUCUCUUCUUGUGUGUUGCAUCCCCGUUGCUUCUUUCUUUUCCUUCUUACUAGCAAACAUGCUUGUGCGUUGCAACGGGAAAAUGCAGGGCGUGAAAUUAGGUUCAGAUACAUAAAUAUUCUAGUGGUGCGAUAUCAAUCAUGUCCAACAUGUACCUUCAUGAUCCUAGCUAGCUACUCCAUCCGUUCCGAUUUACUCGUCGUGGUUUUAGUUCAAAUUUGAACCAAAACCACGACGAGAAAGUAAAUCGGAACGGAGGCAGUAGAUAGCAUUGGCACCUUUUUUUACCGUUAAAUAAUUUUUUCUUUAUCCGCAAAAAAUAUUCUUUUUCUUUCUCCACCCAUUAUCUCAACCUCAAUUCAAACCCGCCAUCGAAUAAAUGGAAGCAAUAGUCUUCGGUCACCUUACCUGGCACCUGGUGUCUUUGCCUAUUGGUUCUGAAUAUGCAAGAAAGAUUUUCCAUACUGCAAGAAUUUGUCAUCAAGCUUGAUGCAUAAAGAAUUUGUCACCUAGAUUUAACAAAAUCUUUUGGUCUCUGAUGCCAUGAACCAGAGGAGAGAGCCUUGUGCAUGCUGGUGUCGGAAGCAAUGAGCGUCUUGCAGAACAUGCAGGGUGCUUUCACGUCAUCGCUAUCCUCUUUGUGGGGGCGGGGUGCUUCAAUAGUGUCAGUCCCAAAUUUCCUCGUUGUUCCCUUCUAGUCCUACACUCCUACUUCAAGCAUCCACCUUAUUGUAACCAUUAGCAGCACAUACUCCCUUUGUUCCGAUUUACUCGUCGUGGUUUUAGUUCAAAUUUGAACUAAAACGACGAUGAGUAAAUCGGAACGGAGGAAGUACGUUUGAUGAUUCAAGUGACAUUAACCGCAUCUGCCUUCCUGUAACCAUUACCAGCGCAUAUCUUUGAUGAUUCAACUGACAUUAACCAUGUCAAAUUCAGAUAGUGGGCCAAUCCCUCCCUCCCCGCCCCAACCACCAGCGACCCUUUUGUGUUUGGGCAAAUCACUGCCUCUUCUCUCCUAUCGGGUUUGGGAUUGUUUUCACAAGAGUAAUGCACUGAGGAUAAAUACCAUCAGGUAGGUAGUAUCCUUUGUUAUAGUGGUGACCAUUGAUCUUAAUAUUGAACUCUGGGCAGUUGCCUUCUGCAAGCCUUUCAAACAUCAGAGAACGCUGAAGCACGUUGAUGUCAUUGUGAGAGCCCGCCAUGCCAAAAAAAGAGUACCAAAUUCAAUGAUGUUGUGAAGCACGGCCUCAAGUAUGACAUUGCAAACUUUCACAUGACCUCUAGACUGCCCCUGCCAAGCAGAUGUGCAGUUCUUCCACUUGCAGUGCUUACAAUCUGUGUGCGACCAAGCAUCCUCGGAAAGCCCCCAUCUGCAUUGAUCGCCAACAACCUGGUGCAACAGUUGGCUCUCUCAAGUACUCCCGGCCAAACAUCACUAGCACAAUCUUGCAGAACCUGUACAUGGAUUCUAGGCAUGUGGCCUCACUCAUGCAGACAUACCCAUCAAUUAGAUCACAUGGUAUUUUGUAUGCAAGCACCGAAUAGCUGCAGUGCAUUUCUGCUAAGAGGAGAAGCCAACCUCUCCCAGGGGCGUCCUCCUUGCAUAUGAAAUAAUCAUCGUAUGCCACAACCCUUCGUGAAUAUGAGAACACAUGUCUAGCCAUCUGGAAGCGGCGCCGAAAUAGCUUGUGUUUGAAGAGUGGGGAAGAGGACUUGAAGUAGUCUUCCGCUCUCUCUAUUGUGAUUCAACGCCGGAGCAUGGCCCGAGAUUGAGCCCCUAAAUGUGGUCAUCGGCGACCAAAUUAGCAACCACAAACUCCUCAUCGUCCAACGAUGAAUCAUCCGAAUCGCAAAUGAAGUUGUCGAAAAAGUAUUCGUCUCCACUAUCCAUUUGUACCUUACGGGUGAAACGUCGAACACCUCACGGGCGUGGUUGAAGAAGCCGGCCGGCGAAGAGCCCCGCGCCUCUUCCAGACCAGGCAGUAGGCCUGUCGGCGUGGUGGCGGCCGUGGAGGAGAACGUCGAUUGAGGAAGCCGGGAUUGGAGCGUUGCCAANNNNNNNNNNNNNNNNNNNNNNNNNNNNNNNNNNNNNNNNNNNNNNNNNNNNNNNNNNNNNNNNNNNNNNNNNNNNNNNNNNNNNNNNNNNNNNNNNNNNNNNNNNNNNNNNNNNNNNNNNNNNNNNNNNNNNNNNNNNNNNNNNNNNNNNNNNNNNNNNNNNNNNNNNNNNNNNNNNNNNNNNNNNNNNNNNNNNNNNNNNNNNNNNNNNNNNNNNNNNNNNNNNNNNNNNNNNNNNNNNNNNNNNNNNNNNNNNNNNNNNNNNNNNNNNNNNNNNNNNNNNNNNNNNNNNNNNNNNNNNNNNNNNNNNNNNNNNNNNNNNNNNNNNNNNNNNNNNNNNNNNNNNNNNNNNNNNNNNNNNNNNNNNNNNNNNNNNNNNNNNNNNNNNNNNNNNNNNNNNNNNNNNNNNNNCCAACGGCACCAGAGGUGAGGGGGGUGGCAUGGUCGUGGGGGGUGGGGGUGGGGGUGCUACGACGGCGGUGAAACUAGGCUUGACUUGGCGGCAAGGGUACCUGUCGAGAGCGGCGUGUUGUCGGGGGAGGUUUUUGGGUGCGGGCGGCGGCCUGGGCAACUGGGCGACAAGAGUGAAGGCAGGGUGCCCGGGUGUCUUAGUUUUGGACGGGAGAGGAGGGUAAUUGCCAAUGUGCCACCGAAUGACAGGCUAGGGGGAGGACAAGGGCGGGCGUCGCGUGCGUCCACGUCAUGUCCGUGCUGAUGCAAACCCGACUCAAAUCUUGUCCUGAAAUGAGCCGCGAGCAGACAAAAAGCGGACACUCGCCCGUUUGCGUCGGCACAUUGGGCCGCAGUUUGUGUUCAUUUCGACCCAAACCGACGUGCAUGGAUAGAACGCGUCAGCGCAUUGGAGUUGGUCUUAGACACCACCCUCAUUGCAAGAAAUGUGCACGCAGUGGCAAAGAAAAGGUGCCAGACCAGGGGCACCCCACGCUCAUAGGGGUGGGGAACGACCCAACAUGGUUGGACGGUGGAGUGGCAGGCAGAAGGGGGCGUCAAGAGUACUCCAACAUCCUUUACAAGAGUAAUUCGGUGAUGGUCGAUGUAUCAACAUGUAAUAUCCACAAAUUUCCUGCGGCUCGAAGCAGCCGCAAAAACAAUAUAUGUGUACAAAUUAAAUAUGUACCCCGUGAGCUAGCAGAAAGUACCCAACGAAUCUUGCAUCGUUCAUAGGGGUGAAGGUAUACGUGUAUGUACUAUGUUCUGCUCGGUGACUCAUACAUCUCAAACUUACCUAUAAUUUUUGAUUGAUUCAUGCUAUUAUAAUACCAUCCAUAUCAAUUUAUAUUAUUAUUCUGAACUAAACUAUAAAUUCAAUGCCUAGAGCCAGUUACUGUUUUCUGCAUGUUUUUGAUUUGACAGAAAAUAAUUCGGCAUGCGUUAAGCCUGUCGAUUCGCAAAACAAUAAAUAGAAGUUAAACCUUCGCCAUGUGGGCCAACUUAUAAGGCGAGCCCACAUCCUGGGAAGGUGGUAAAGUUGUUCCAACCGAAGAUACCAAUGUUGUCCUCAUCAAAUUGGAAAAUAUGAAUUUUCUAGUUUGACCCCUUUGAACUCGUAAAAAAAUCGGUUUGAUUUCAUCUUGUUUUGUAUUAUUUGGCUUCAUUUCCUUCUAAGGCCCGUAAGCUACAUAUCUACCCAUCGAAACAUUGCUCAAUCGGCCCAAAAUAAAUUCCCCGAAAGCCCAAUCAACCCUGCAACAAAACACCCCACCUUUCCUCCUUUCUUUCGCCGCCGCUAGAGUUUCCUCUUCUAGUUAGGGUUUCCUCGAUCCCCAAUUUCCCCACCCCAGCCCUAGCUCCGAUCCACCCGAUGGCGGCCGCAGAGGGCAAGAAGAAGAUCAUCAAGCUCAAGAGUUCAGACGGUAAGGAGUUUGAGGUGGAGCAGGCGGUGGCCAUGGAGUCGCAAAUGAUCCAGCACAUGAUCGAGGACGACUAUACUGACAACGGCUUGUUGCUCCGCAAUGUCAACUCAAAGAUCCUCUCCAAGGUCAUUGAGUACUGCAACAAACAGGUCCAAGCAAAGGCCGUUGAGACAUCUGAUUUUGGUGGAGGAGCUAGGCCGUUAGGUGCUACAUCGGCUGUGCCUGCGGCGCCUGCAGAGGACCUCAAAAACUGGGACGCCAAUUUCGUCAAGGUCGACACGGCCACCAUAUUUGACCUCGCACUGGUGUGAUUACUUUCCAUCCUUUGAUUUGUUCCUUGACAUUCUCUAGAUCUAUCUUUUUACUAUCCCCCAUUGAUGGAAUCAAGAUUGUUUUUGUUUAGUGUGGCUUGUUACUUGUGUCUGAUUGAGAUUUGGAUAGAUUGGAAUAUUUCCUCGUACCUUCAUCAAGGUAGAUUUCACUCGAUUGUAUUAGGUUAGGUUACACAAUGGAUUAGGUUUAGGUCACAAAGAGUUGUUAUUGGCGAUGUAGAAAGCGGCCGACCAUACAUACUAACCCUAAUAGCUAGGUUCGGGCAUUAUCUAGGGAGCUAUAUUAAUUUACAGUUCCAUGUUCAUCUGGUCUAAUAUGCUUCACUAUAUAUGAAUAACCUAGAAACAUUUUAAAUUAUUAGAUUCACUAUCAUUUUGUUUGUAAAUUACAUAUACGGAUGAUGAUUGAGUGGUUUCUCUUUCAAUAACUUGCGGAAACAUCAGACCACACAGAGCAAUAUAUGGUCUGAUGUUUCUAUAUUUGUCACUGUUGUUUCUAGAUUUGAACCAUGCAUGAAUGUCCAUAUCUAGUGUGAAAUUAUGAUCUUGUAUGCUAGAUACCACUAUUGAUCUUUUAGAUACCACUAUUGAUCCAUGUCAUCUACGAAUGCCUUCUUCUAUCUAGCAUUGGUUGAGUAUUGAUUGUGGUUCUAUUAACAUUACAUCCUUGUAGCUAAAUCACGAGAUGAUACAUUGUGCCUGUCCAUGUUAGAAGUGAUGAUGCUUUCCAUCAUUUGAAAUGAAACCACGCAUGACUUCCCAUGGCCACUAUAAAAUCCUGAUCUUGUUUGCAAGAGUUUAGCACUAUUUACUUUUAGUUUCUUUUCUUAUAGUUAUCUUAUUUUAUCACAGAUAAGAUUUGUAUCUCACAUGUGGCAUCUUCACUUGCAAUACAUAUUCCAGUUUCAUAUAUUACUGACCCCUAAACACAUUUUUUGUGUUGUGGUUUGAUUUUACUAUGAUAGAUAACUAUGUUUCUAACUUUGUUGUUAUCGCCGCCUUUAUCAGCUGAGCAAAUCUUUUAAAUGCCACUAUAUUGAUCCAUAUUGGCUAUGAAUGUGUUCAUCUGUGUAUCAUUGCUUGACUGAUGAUUGUGGUGUACUAGCCAUACAUAUUGAUAUCCAAAUUAUUGGAUGAUGAAUGCAAUUGCCAAUGCAUUUUGAGAAGUGGUGCUUGUCAUCUGAACCCAUGUAGCUUAUGCACUUACAAAAUUAUCAUUUAUCAUGUAGGAAUGUAUGUAGCUGUGUCUGAUCUCACUCUAUUUUGUGACAGUUAUGUUAACUUUUCUUGACUAUUGAUCCAUUUAUGUUAACCCAUGUUAUGGUCUUUGAAUGAAUAUCUUUUGAUUAUUGCACACCUUGUUUUGUGUUUUAGUUUGUCGCAAAAACCUCUAUGUAGGUGGUAUAUGUAAUUAUCCAUGUUUUUGUAAACCAAUGCUUCACUCUGACACACCAUUAUUCCUUUUGCUCUUUUGCCCCCUCUCAGGCUGCGAACCACCUCAACAUCAGGGGGCUCCUAGACCUGACUUGCCAGACCGUCACCAACAUGAUCACGGGAAAGACGCCAGAGGAGAUCCGCAAGAUCUUCAACAUCAAUGAGAAAUUAAGACCCGAGGAGGAGGAGAAGAUCUGCAGGGAAAACCAGUGGGCCUUUGAGUAGAGGAACAUCUAGGCCGCGCUGAAGUAAUGAACACUUAGUAUUACCCAUGUCUACAUUUCAGUGUGCUUUUUUAUGUCAUAAUGGUUGUAAUGAACCAAGAGUCUAUAAGGUGGUGUUGGUGAACUUAUUCAGUGGUUAUGUUUGCAAAAAAAAUAUGGUGGUCAUUAAUUAUCAUUUGUCAAAUGAAUCGUUAUUGUCAAGUUGAUGUUUUGCUUGCUUAUCAUUAUUUUUUCACUGAUUUCCACCAUGUGAUUUGGGCUUCUUCGUUGGUUAUUCAUGUGUGUUUUGUUCAUCGAUCAAGAUGCAUGGAUGCUCUUGUUACUUAAGACACGGUCCUUGUUCUUCCCCUUUCUCUUUACAAUCCUAAUAAAAUAAAAAUAAAAGUUGUUGCUUAAAUUAUUUGAGGGAUCAAACUAAUUUCAGAAGACCUGAAAUUUUUAUGGUAACCACUUAUGACCAUGGCAAGGCCACACUAAAACAUAUAGGGUUUUAGGAUUAUAUUUACAAUUUUUUACAAAAAAUCCAUUUAAAUGAAUAAACGAGUGAUGUUAUUCUCUACUGACUGCAGAACCACGCCGCACCAGAAUCAGUUAACCCUCGUACACCUCUCCGUCUGUGACUCCACUGCCGUGUCUUCCCAAUACCAACUCGUUGCCGUCCCGGGCCUCGCCGUCGUCCACCACCUUGGUGCGCUCGGCACGGCGUGGUCAACGUGGUCAACAAACAAGAGUCAUCGGAAGAGGAUUAUACGUGGAGAGGCUGACAGUGGGGACGCACCAGGUCCAUGGACGCACACUGCAACCGCCUCCUUGUUACGCGGAAAUAAAAAUUAUUCCUCCCCAUGAAAGCUGGGACCCACCACGUAUAUCUUCGCAAGGAAGGAAGUGCCUCCUUAUGCCUGCUCCUGACAGCUGGGACCCACCAACAACAUCUUUGCUCCCAACGAAGUGACUCCUUAUUAUGGGCAAAAAAUAUAUGAUUCCGUCUCAGACCACUGGGACGCACCAGCUAUAUAUUCCGCCUCCUUGCCCCCCGACAGCUGGAACCCACCUGGUCGAAGCAUAUGUAGCGUUGUCUAUGUACAUACCGGUCGAUCGGUCUGUUUGCCACGAUGAACCAUGUCCGAGUAAGGAGCGGUAGCAGUUGAGGCAGUCCAGUCAAAACAGCGUACACGUACGUACAGCCAGAUGCCAAAAAAUACAUCCACGUACGUACAUACGGGUGGGGUCUCGAACACGUACUCGCGCAUACGUACGGCGAGGGCUCGUGUACAUGGAGAGNNNNNNNNNNNNNNNNNNNNNNNNNNNNNNNNNNNNNNNNNNNNNNNNNNNNNNNNNNNNNNNNNNNNNNNNNNNNNNNNNNNNNNNNNNNNNNNNNNNNNNNNNNNNNNNNNNNNNNNNNNNNNNNNNNNNNNNNNNNNNNNNNNNNNNNNNNNNNNNNNNNNNNNNNNNNNNNNNNNNNNNNNNNNNNNNNNNNNNNNNNNNNNNNNNNNNNNNNNNNNNNNNNNNNNGCAACUAACAUUUUUUAAGCUUUUCUUUAACAAAUUAAACCUUGCGAUAAAAUAGGUUGUCUAGAUAUGCAACUAAGUGGACAACCUAUAUGAUGCAAAGACAACCAGCACACAAGCAAACAAUAGAUACAACACAAGUAAGCUUGCAAAAGUAAAGGCACGAAAUAACCAAGAGUGGAGCCGGUGGAGACAAGGAUGUGUUACCGAAGUUCCUUCCUUUUAAGGGGAAGUACGUCUCCGUUAGAGCGGUGUGGAGGCACAAUGCUCCCCAAGAAGCCACUAGGGACACCGUAAUCUCCUCACGCCCUCACACAAUGCGAGAUGCCGUGAUUCCACUAUUGGUGCCCUUGAAGGCGGCGACUGAACCUUUACAAACAAGGUUGGGGCAAUCUCCACAACACUUGGAGGCUCCCAACAACACCAAGAAGCUUCACCACAAUGGAGUAUGGCUUCGAGGUGACCUCAACCGUCUAGGGUGCUCAAACACCCAAGAGUAACAAGAUCCGCUAGGGAUUAGUGGGGGGAAUCGAAUAUCUCUUGGUGGAAGUGUAGAUCGGGGCCUUGUCAACCUAUCCCGAGCAAAUCAACAAGUUUGAUUGGCUAGGGAGAGAGAUCGGCCAAAAAUGGAGCUUGGAGCAACAAUGGAGUUUAGGGUUAGAAGAGGUGAGUCUUCUUGGAGAAGAAGACCCCCUUUUAUAGUGGGGGACAAUUCCAACCGUUGCCCACCACUCAGCCCGCGGCCCAUGGAACUAGCGCUCCACAGGCGCGGUACUACCGCACUAGCGUGCGGUACUACCGCGGUGGACCGCGGUACUACCGCGAGCAAGGCAGAGACCUGACCAGGCAAAAAGGAGCACCGACAGGGCGCGGUAGAUCCGCAGGAGCGGUACUACCGCAGCCCCAUGCGGUACUUCCACAAGGCAGACACGGGCCAGGCCUGGUAGGCACAGAUGUAAAAAAUUACAUCCGUGACUACCUCCGCUGAGAAAAAUGUCGUGCAAAAAUCCGACACGGAAUUACCGCGACCGAGGGUGCGGUACUACCAUGAAGGAUGCGGAUGUAAAAAAUUACAUCUGCCCCUACCUCCGCUCCUGCUCCGGAACCUGGCCUGGUGCCACAGUACUACCGCGCCACAGCACGGUACUACCGCGGGGAGCGCGGAUGUAAAAAAUUACAUCCGCGUCUACCACCACUUGAGAGCGGUGCUAGACCAGAGCUCGCGGUACUACCGCUCGGAAGAGCGGUACUACCGUGGGAGCCUACGGUACUACCGUGCCGGAGCCCGGUACUACCGCUUGCUCCUGCGGUAGUAUCGCUCACAAGAGCAGUACUACCGCUAGCCUGAGAAGAGCAAGACUGAGGCCUUCAUUUCGCAGAGACACGAUGAGACGGAGGAACACUCCGAGGAGCUCAAGGAAAGGCGGUGCAAAAGGGAAUGUGUACGUGAGAUUCCACCCAAACCUUUCCAAAGCGGACCCCCUCUUAAUAGUACGGCUUUCCUACGACUCAACUUCACCGAACCAAACCGUAGAAAAAGGCCGUCUUCUAUAAUCUCCGAGGGGCAUCAAAUCGUCUUGUGUUUAGUCGUGAUAUAUCUGAAAUGCUCAAUACACACGAUUAGUCCUCAAAGGCAUUGUCAUCAAUCACCAAAACUACAUAGGGACAAGAAUGCCCUUACAGAGAGGCAAUGGAUGGCAGCAACGCCGUCAUGUUCAUUAGAAGCCAACCGGCUGGGCCGAAACGGAGAAACUGUGUCGUGUUCAUCGGGAGGAAACAUAAUGCGUCGUGUUUAUUGGGAGGCAAUGGAAUAUGUCGUGUUCAUUAGGAGCCAACCGGCUUAGAUGAAAUAGCCGAAACGAGGUCUGGCGUACCACAGAACGGAGGAAAUGGGCCUUCUGUUCGACCACAUAUGGUCGAAAUGGCUCCUGUUCAUCGAGAAGGGUCUGGCCUACCGCAAAACGGAGGAAACAGACUUGUAUUCGAGUGCCAACGGUCGAAACGGGGCCCUGUUGAUAGGGAGGGGUGUGGCGUACCGCAAAACGGAGGAAACGGACUUGUGUUGGAGCGCUGACGGUCGAAACGAGGUCCUGUUCAUCCACCAUCUACUGCUGUGCCCCAGCCUCCACGAGCUACUGUUCAUCCACCGUCGACCUCCUCCAGCCUCCACCAGCUACUGUUCAUCCACCGGCUACUAUUCGUAGAGGCUCCAGAGGGUCCUGUUCAUCCACCCCCAACCGGCUAGGGUGCGAUGGCCUCCUUGGGCUCCUGUUCAUCCCGCGGCAACGACCUACUACCAUGGGGUCCUGUUCAUCAAACCCCCACCGGGAACUGUUCAUCCACAACCAACCAACCGGCUCGACUCACCACGUCUUGACUCGUUCUACGUACCAUGUGCACGGUAGCAACGGUCACUGUUCAUCGAGAGUCAACCCAGCACUGGCUGGCUACGUCUCGCACGGGGGCUCGAUCGGCUUCAGUAAGCAGCAGAUGCGACCAAUCGCUCGGGUUCAGUUAGCAGCAACAACGAAGGAAUUGCUCGGGUUUAGUCAGCAGUGAAUGAAUCACUGGAGUUCAAUUAAUAGCCAAGGGAUCAAUCGCUCGGCUUCAGUAACGUAGCUAGCAGUGCGAUUGCUCGGUUUAGUUAGAGCCCAACGCCUCGCACACACUCAUGUACACGAGAGAAACACACAAACCACAAUGCAUUGCCCAGCCCCGACCUCCCACCGUAACCUGGAACUCCCUGAUAUUUUCCUCGCCCUCGCUUCUACCAUGAUUUUUCCCGUCAUGGACGGCCCAAAGAAUGUCAUGCAGCCGCGUCUCCGGCCUGCCCAGGACGGAAAACCCAUUUUCAUGGACCUAUCAUCCCAUUUUCAUCCUGUGAAAUCUAUGAUCCUAUUCUCUAUAUAUGCAGCAUGGUCUAUUAUGUAGCAAUAGCACGGUCUAUUAUGCUCUGUUACCGGCAGUAAUGUCAGUUGUUCUCUAGUAUUUGUCAUCAUAGUGCUCUCCUUCCCGUUGUUCCAUAUUUUGCAGCUGCAUCUUUGAUGUGUAUACGUUGUUGAUGUGUUGUCUUGGUAUAAGUAAACCUGACUACUUCUGUCCUUUGUCGUCAAAUGAAGUCAUGAUAUGUUGUUAGCAACCUAGGACAGGAGGUAUUUGUUCAAGUUUGCAGUUCCUAGAUCCAUUGCUGAUGAAUAUGGAGUCAUUAAUAUUUAUCCUAUUUUUCCAAGAAAUGCUUCACUUGUAAGUUAUAACACCAGUCACGGACAACACACUUAACAAUUUUCGCGUGUCCCCUAUUACAUUUGACAGGGUCGAUUCGAAAUCCUGUGCCUCUCUGGAUCAUACCUGGUUAUAGAUGACGGUGUUUCACGCACACGGAAUGGAGGUCUAUGCAUAGAGCUGUGUGGCGCUGAUCACAGGGUGAUUGGAGGAAGCGUUGGUGGAGUCCUGACAGCAGCCGGGACAGUUCAGGUGAUCACUCGCUUCUUUUUUUUCACUGAAACAUCAGCAUUUCAUUAAUUCAUCCUUGGUCUGUUGUGUUCCAGAAAUGAAUGAUGAGGUGAUUGUGCGUCUUGGUGCAGGUGAUUGUGGGGAGCUUCAUGUACGCGGGGUCGAAGAAGAGCAGGAAGGGCAAGGCCGGGGAGGAGUCUGCUGUGGCGGAGGAAGAACAGACCGGCGAUGCCAACGGGGGCAGGGGCAGGGGUGGAGACGGAGUUGGAGUCGAGGCGGAGGAAGAGGGCCUUCGCCGCUGAUGCCGAUGCCCCACGGAGAGGAGGAGCUGCCGUUGGACGCGAUGAUGAGCAGGUGGACGGGCAUGAUGCGGCAGAUGGAGUCGCGGUCCUGCGGCAUCGACAUCAACUCGAUCCGGGAGUGAAGGAUGUAGACUGUUUAAUUAGUUUGGUACGGCGGAAGUUGAGCCUAGGCUAGCUUAGCUAGUGGAUGAUGGAUGAUUCUAGGGUUUGGUUGGGUUGGUUGUGUUCCUCUCCUGCGUGGGUUUAAAAAGAAGUCUAGUUAGUAUAAUGAAUGUCGUCGUCGAGUAUGAUCAGUUUAACCGAUGAUGUUGGCGCCGGUCGGUCGGGCGGAUCUAUGAUGGAAAUAGUGGAUUCGGUUGUUGGUGGAUGGUCUGGUCUGGUAUGGUAUGGUAUGGUAUCAUGUAGUUAUAGGCAGCAGCAAUGAGCAACUUGUUUGUAGCUAGUCUCUUUCUUCGUUGCAGACAGACAGACAAACUUUGACAGUUUUGUUUUCUUUUCUCUUCUUGUGUUUGUAUCCCCUUUGCUUCUUUCUUUUCCUUCUUACUAGCAAACAUGCUUGUGCGUUGCAACGGGAAAAUGCAUGGCGUGAAAUUAGGUUCAGAUACAUAAAUAUUCUAGUGGUGCGAUAUCAAUCAUGUCCUACAUGUACCUUCAUGAUCCUAGCUAGCUACUCCAUCUGUUCCGAUUUACUCAUCGUGGUUUUAGUUCAAAUUUGAACUAAAACCACGACGAGAAAGUAAAUCGGAAUGGAAGGAGUAGAUAGCAUUGGCACCUUUUUUUACCGUUAAAUAAUUUUUUCUUUAUCCGAAAAAAAUAUUCUUUUUCUUUCUCCACCCAUUAUCUCAACCUCAAUUCAAACCCGCCAUCGAAUAAAUGGAAGCAAUAGUCUUCGGUCACCUUACCUGGCACCUGGUGUCUUUGCCUAUUAGUUCUGAAUAUGCAAGAAAGAUUUUCCAUACUACAAGAAUUUGUCAUCAAGCUUGAUGCAUAAAGAAUUUGUCACCUAGAGUUAACAAAUUCUUUUAGUCUCUGACGCCAUGAACCAGAGGAGAGAGCCUUGUGCAUGCUGGUGUCGGAAGCAAUGAGCGUCUUGCAGAACAUGCGGGGUGCUUUCACGUCAUCGCUGUCCUCUUUGUUGGGGCGGGGUGCUUCAAUAGUGUCAGUCCCAAAUUUCCUCGUUGUUCCCUUCUAGUCCUACACUCCUACUUCAAGCAUCCACCUUAUUGUAACCAUUAGUAGCACAUACUCCCCUUGUUCCGAUUUACUCGUCGUGGUUCUAGUUCAAAUUUGAACUAAAACGACGACGAGUAAAUCGGAACGGAGGGAGUACUUUUGAUGAUUCAACUGACAUUAACCGCAUCUGCCUUCCUGUAACCAUUACCAGCGCAUAUCUUUGAUGAUUCAACUGACAUUAACCAUGUCAAAUUCAUAUUAGUGCGCCAAUCCCUCCCUCCCCGCCCCAAUCACCAGUGACCCUUUUGUGUUUGGGCAAAUCACUGCCUCUUCUCUCCUAUCGGGUUUGGGAUUGUUUUCACAAGAGUAAUGCACUGAGGAUAAAUACCAUCAGGUAGGUAGUAUCCUUUGUUAUAGUGGUGACCAUUGAUCUUAAUAUUGAACUCUGGGCAGUUGCCUUCUGCAAGCCUUUCAAACACCAGAGAACGCUGAAGCACGUUGAUGUCAUUGUGAGAGACGGCCGUGCCAAAAAAAGAGUACCAAAUUCAAAGAUCUUGUGAAGCACGGCCUCAAGUAUGACAUUGCAAACUUUCACAUGACCUCUAGACUGCCCCUGCCAAGCAGAUGUGCAGUUCUUCCACUUGCAGUGCUUACAAUCUGUGUGCGACCAAGCAUCCUCGGAAAGCCCCUAUCUGCAUUGAUCGCCAACAACCUGGUGCAACAGUUGGCUCUCUCAAGUACUCCUGUCCAAACAUCACUAGCACAAUCUUGCAGAACCUGUACAUGGAUUCUAGGCACGUGGCCUCACUCAUGCGGACAUACCCAUCAAUCAGAUCACAUGGUAUUUUGUAUGCAAGCACCGAAUAGCUGCAGUGCAUUUCUGCUAAGAGGAGAAGCCAACCUCUCCCAGGGGCGUCCUCCUUGCAUAUGAAAUAAUCAUCAUGCCACAACCCUUCGCGAAUACGAGAACACAUGUCUAGCCAUCUAGAAGCGGCGCCAAAAUAGCUUGUGUUUGAAGAGUGGGGAAGAGGACUUGAAGUAGUCUUCCGCUCUCUCUAUUGUGAUUCAACGCCGGAGCAUGGCCCGAGAUUGAGCCCCUAAAUGUGGUCAUUGGCGACCAAAGUAGCAACCACAAACUCCUCAUCGUCCAACGAUGAAUCAUACGAAUCGCAAAUGAAGUUGUCGAAAAAGUAUUCGUCUCCACUAUCCAUUUGUACUUUACGGGAGAAACGUCGAACACCUCACGGGCGUGGUUGAAGAAGCCGGCCGACGAAGAGCCCCGCGCCUCUUCCAGACCAGGCAGCAGGCCUGUCGGCGUGGUGGCGGCCGUGGAGGAGAACGUCGAUUGAGGAAGCCGGGAUUGGAGCGUUGACAACGGUGCCAGAGGUGAGGGUGGUGGCAUGGUCGUGGGGGUAGGAGUGGGGGUGCUACGUCGGCGGUGAAACUAGGCUUGACUUGCUGGCAAGGGUACCUGUCAAGACCGCGUGUUGUCGGGGGAGGUUUUUGGGUGCGGGCGGCGGCCUGGGCAACUGGGCGACAACGGUGAAGGCAGGGUGCCAGGGUGUCUUAGUUUUGGACGGGAGAGGAGGGUAAUUGCCAAUGUGCCACCGAAUGAUAGGCUAGGGGGAGGACAAGGGCGGGCGUCGCGUGCGUCCACGUCAUGUCCGUGCUGAUGCAAACCCGACUCAAAUCUUGUCCUGAAAUGAGUCACGAGCAGACAAAAAGCGGACACUCGCCCGUUUGCGUCGGCACAUUGGGCCGCAGUUUGUGUUCAUUUCGACCCAAACCGACGUGCACAGACAGAACGCGUCGGCACAUUGGAGUUGGUCUUAGACACCACCCUCAUUGCAAGAAAUGUGCACGCAGUGGCAAAGAAAAGGUGCCAGACCAGGGGCACCCCACGCUCAUAGGGGUGGGGAACGACCCAACAUGGUUGGACGGUGGAGUGGCAGGCAGAAGGGGGCAUCAAGAGUACUCCAACAUCCUUUAUAAGAGUAAUUCGGUGAUGGUCGAUGUAUCAACUUGUAAUAUCCACAUAUUUCCUCCGGCUCGAAGCAGCCGCAAAAACAAUAUAUGUGUAGAAAUUAAAUAUGUACCCCGUGAGCUAGCAGAAAGUACCCAACGAAUCUUGCAUCGUUCAUAGGGGUGAAGGUAUACGCGUAUGUACUAUGUUCUGCUCGGUGACUCAUACAUCUCAAACUUACCUAUAAUUUUUGAUUGAUUCAUGCUAUUAUAAUACCAUCUAUAUCAAUUUAUAUUAUUUUUCUUAACUAAACUAUAAAUUCAACGCCUAGAGCCAGUUACUGUUUUCUGCAUGUUUUUUAUUUGACAGAAAAUCAUUCGGCAUGCGUUAAGCCAGUCGAUUCGCAAAACAAUAAAUAGAAGUUAAACAUUCGCCAUGUGGGCCAACUUAUAAGGCGAGCCCACAUCCUGGGAAGGUGGUAAAGUUGUUCCAACCGAAGAUACCAAUGUGUCCUCAUCAAAUUGGAAAUUAUGAAUUUUCUAGUUUGACCCCUUUGAACUCGUAAAAAAAUCGGUUUGACUUCAUCUUGUUUUGUAUUAUUUGGCUUCGUUUCUUUCUAAGGCCCGUAAGCUACAUAUCUACCCAUUCAAACGUUGCUCAAUCGGCCCAAAAUAAAUUCCCCAAAAGCCCAAUCAACCCUGCAACAAAACACCCCAUCUUUCCUCCUUUCUUCCGCCGCCGCUAGAGUUUCCUCUUCUAGUUAGGGUUUCCUCGAUCCCCAAUUUCCCCACCCCAACCCUAGCUCCGAUCCACCCGAUGGCAGCCGCAGAGGGCAAGAAGAAGAUCAUCAAGCUCAAGAGUUCAGACGGUAAGGAGUUUGAGGUGGAGCAGGCGGUGGCCAUGGAGUCGCAAAUGAUCCGGCACAUGAUCGAGGAUGACUAUACUGACAACGGCUUGUUGCUCCACAAUGUCAACUCAAAGAUCCUCUCCAAGGUCAUGGAGUACUGCAACAAACACGUCCAAGCAAAGGCCACCGACACAUCAGAUUUUGGUGGAGGAGCUAGGCCGUUAGGUGCUACAUCGGCUGUGCCUGCGGCGCCCGCAGAGGACCUCAAAAACUGGGACGCCAAUUUUGUCAAGGUCGACACGGCCACCAUAUUCGACCUCGCACUGGUGUGAUUACUUUCCAUCCUUUGAUUUGUUCCUUGACAUUCUCUAGAUCUAUCUUUUUACUAUCCCCCAUUGAUGGAAUCAAGAUUGUUUUUGUUUAGUGUGGCUUGUUACUUGUGUCUGAUUGAGAUUUGGAUAGAUUGGAAUAUGUCCUCAUACCUUCAUCAAGGUAGAUUUGACUCGAUUGGAUUAGGUUAGGUUACACAAUGGAUUAGGUUUAGGUCACAAAGAGUUGUUAUUGGCGAUGUAGAAAGCGGCCGACCAUACAUACUAACCCUAAUAGCUAGGUUCGGGCAUUAUCUAGGGAGCUAUAUUAAUUUACAGUUCCAUGUUCAUCUGGUCUAAUAUGCUUCACUAUAUAUGAAUAACCUAGAAACAUUUUAAAUUAUUAGAUUCGCUAUCAUUUUGUUUGUAAAUUACAUAUAUGGGAUGAUGAUUGAGUGGUUUCUCUUUCAAUAACUUGCGGAAACAUCAGACCACACAGAGCAAUAUAUGGUCUAAUGUUUCUAUAUUUGUCACUGUUGUUUCUAGAUUUGAACCAUGCAUGAAUGUCCAUAUCUAGUGUGAAAUUAUGAUCUUGUAUGCUAGACUUUAGUAGAUCUGCUCUGAAUUUGUUUAGCUAUGUUGGUUUAUCAUAGAUAGGGUGGUAUGUCGCAUGUGUCAUCCUUAGUUAUAAUACAUAAAUCCAAUAUCAUACAUUACUACUUUGAUAUUUGUAAUUAUGCAUUGUAGAUCACACACUUCUUUCUAAUUUUGCUCUCUAUGUCUUUAUUAUCUUAUAGGUUUCACUACUGGUCCAUAUGUCAAAAAUGAAUGCCUUUUUCUUCUAUCUAGCAUCGAGUUACUAUUUAUUUUGCUGUAUACAGAGUGAUAGCUAAAUCACAUGAUCAUGCCAAUGUUUCUAACUUUGUAUCAAAUAUUUAUGAUCUCAACUAAUCUUUUAGAUACCACUAUUGAUCCAUGUCAUCUACGAAUGCCUUCUUCUAUCUAGCAUUGGUUGAGUAUUGAUUGUGGUUCUAUUAACAUUACGUCCUUGUAGCUAAAUCACGAGAUGAUACAUUGUGCCUGUCCAUGUUAGAAGUGAUGAUGCUUUCCAUCAUUUGAAGUGAAACCACGCAUGACUUCCCAUGGCCACUAUAAAAUCCUGAUCUUGUUUGCAAGAGUUUAGCACUAUUUACUUUUAGUUUCUUUUCUUAUAGUUAUCUUAUUUUAUCACAGAUAAGAUUUGUAUCUCACAUGUGGCAUCUUCACUUGCAAUACAUAUUCCAGUUUCAUAUAUUACUGACCCCUAAACACAUUUUUUGUGUUGUGGUUUGAUUUUACUAUGAUAGAUAACUAUGUUUCUAACUUUGUUGUUAUCGCCGCCUUUAUCAGCUGAGCAAAUCUUUUAAAUGCCACUAUAUUGAUCCAUAUUGGCUAUGAAUGUGUUCAUCUGUGUAUCAUUGCUUGACUGAUGAUUGUGGUGUACUAGCCAUACAUAUUGAUAUCCAAAUUAUUGGAUGAUGAAUGCAAUUGCCAAUGCAUUUUGAGAAGUGGUGCUUGUCAUCUGAACCCAUGUAGCUUAUGCACUUACAAAAUUAUCAUUUAUCAUGUAGGAAUGUAUGUAGCUGUGUCUGAUCUCACUCUAUUUUGUGACAGUUAUGUUAACUUUUCUUGACUAUUGAUCCAUUUAUGUUAACCCAUGUUAUGGUCUUUGAAUGAAUAUCUUUUGAUUAUUGCACACCUUGUUUUGUGUUUUAGUUUGUCGCAAAAACCUCUAUGUAGGUGGUAUAUGUAAUUAUCCAUGUUUUUGUAAACCAAUGCUUCACUCUGACACACCAUUAUUCCUUUUGCUCUUUUGCCCCCUCUCAGGCUGCGAACCACCUCAACAUCAGGGGGCUCCUAGACCUGACUUGCCAGACCGUCGCCGACGUGAUCACGGGAAAGACGCCAGAGGAGAUCCGCAAGAUCUUCAACAUCAAUGAGAAAUUAAGACCCGAGGAGGAGGAGAAGAUCCGCAGGGAAAACCAGUGGGCCUUUGAGUAGAGGAACAUCUAGGCCGCGCUGAAGUAAUGAACACUUAGUAUUACCCAUGUCUACAUUUCAGUGUGCUUGUUUAUGUCAUAAUGGUUGUAAUGAACCAAGAGUCUAUAAGGUGGUGUUGGUGAACUUAUUCAGUGGUUAUGUUUGCAAAAAAAAUGAUGGUCAUUAAUUAUCAUUUGUCAAAUGAAUCGUUAUUGUCAAGUUGAUGUUUUGCUUGCUUAUCAUUAUUUUUUCACUGAUUUCCACCAUGUGAUUUGGGCUUCUUCGUUGGUUAUUCAUGUGUGUUUUGUUCAUCGAUCAAGAUGCAUGGAUGCUCUUGUUACUUAAGAGACGGUCCUUGUUCUUCCCCUAUCUCUUUACAAUCCUAAUAAAAUAAAAAUAAAAGUUGUUUCUUAAAUUAUUUGAGGGAUCAAACUAAUUUGAGAAGACCUGAAAUUUUUAUGGUAACUACUUAUGACCAUGGCAAGGCCACACUAAAACAUAUAGGGUUUUAGGAUUAUAUUUACAAUUUUUUACAAAAAAAUCCAUUUAAAUGAAUAAACGAGUGAUGUUAUUCUCUACUGACUGCAGAACCACGCCGCACCAGAAUCAGUUAACCCUCGUACACCUCUCCGUCUGCGACUCCACUGCCGUGUCUUCCCAUCACCAGCUCGUUGCCGUCCCGGGCCUCGUCGUCGUCCACCGCCUUGGUGCGCUCGGCACGGCGUGGUCAACGUGGUCAACAAACGAGAGUCAUCGGAAGAGAAUUAUACGUGGAGAGGCUGACAGUGGGGACGCACCAGGUCCAUGGACGCACACUGCAACCGCCUCCUUGUUACGCGAAAAUAAAAAAUAUUCCUCGCCAUGAAAGCUGGGACCCACCACGUACAUCUUCGCAAGGAAGGAAGUGCCUCCUUAUGCCUGCUCUUGACAGCUGGGACCCACCAACAACAUCUUUGCUUCGAAGGAAGUGACUCCUUAUUAUGGGCAAAAAAUAUAUGAUUCCACCUCUGACCACUGGGACGCACCAGCUAUAUAUUCCGCCUCCUUGCCCCCCGACAGCUGGAACCCACCUGGUCGAAGCAUACGUAGCGUUGUCUGUGUACAUACCGGUCGAUUGGUCUGUUUGCCACGAUGAACCAUGUCCGAGUAAGGAGCGGUAGCAGUUGAUGCAGUCCAGUCAAAACAGCGUACACGUACGUACAGCCAGAUGCCAAAAAAUACAUCCACGUACGUACAUACGGGUGGAGUCUCGAACACGUACUCGUGCAUACGUACGGCGAGGGCUCGUGUACAUGGAGAGUGAAAGGAUCGAUAUGGUUGACUAGAGGGGGGGGGGUGAAUAGGCAACUAACAAUUUUUAACCUUUUCUUUAACAAAUUAAACCUUGCGACAAAAUAGGUUGUCUAGAUAUGCAACUAAGUGGACAACCUAUAUGAUGUAAAGACAACUAGCACAAAAGCAAGCAAUAGAUACAACACAAAAAAGCUUGCAAAAGUAAAGGCACGAAAUAUCCAAGAGUGGAGCCGGUGGAGCCGGUGGAGACGAGGAUGUGUUACCGAAGUUCCUUCCUUUUAAGGGGAAGUACGUCUCCGUUAGAGCGGUGUGGAGGCACAAUGCUCCCCAAGAAGCCACUAGGGCCACCGUAAUCUCCUCACGCCCUCACACAAUGCGAGAUGCCGUGAUUCCACUAUUGGUGCCCUUGAAGGCGGUGACCGAACCUUUACAAACAAGGUUGGCGCAAUCUCCACAACACUUGGAGGCUCCCAACAACACCACGAAGCUUCACCAGAAUGGAGUAUGGCUUCGAGGUGACCUCAACCAUCUAGGGUGCUCAAACACCCAAGCGUAACAAGAUCCGCUAAGGAUUAGUGGGGGGAAUCAAUAUCUCUUGGUGGAAGUGUAGAUCGGGGCCUUGUCACCCAAUCCCGAGCAAAUCAACAAGUUUGAUUGGCUAGGGAGAGAGAUCGGCCGAAAAUGGAGCUUGGAGCAACAAUGGAGUUUAGGGUUAGAAGAGGUGAGUCUUCUUGGAGAAGAAGACCCCCUUUUAUAGUGGGGGACAAUUCCAAUCAUUGCCCACCACUCAGCCCGCGGCCCACGGAACUACCGCACCACAGGCGUGGUACUACCGCACUGGCGUGCGGUACUACCGCGGUGGACCGCGGUACUACCGCGAGCACGGCAGAGACCUGACCAGGCAAAAAGGAGCACCGACAGGGCGCGGUAGAUCCGUAGGAGCGGUACUACCGCGGCCCCAUGCGGUACUUCCGCAAGGCAGACACGGGCCAGGCCUGGUAGGCACAUAUGUAAAAAAUUACAUCCGUGACUACCUCCGCUGAGAAAAAUGUCGUGCAAAAAUCUGACACGGAACUACCGCGAUCGAGGGUGUGGUACUACCGUGAAGGGUGCGGAUGUAAAAAAUUACAUCCGCCCCUACCUCCGCUCCUGCUCCGGAACCUGGCCUGGUGCCACGGUACUACCGCGCCACAGCACGGUACUACCGCGGGGAGUGCGGAUGUAAAAAAUUACAUUCGCGUCUACAACCGCUUGAGAGCGGUGCCAGACCAGAGCUCGCGGUACUACCGCUCGGAAGAGCAGUACUACCGUGGGAUCCUACGGUACUACCGUGCCGGAGCCCGGUACUACCGCUUGCUCCUGCAGUAGUACCGCUUACAAGAGCAGUACUACCACUAGCCUGAGAAGAGCAAGACUGAGGCCUUCAUUUCGCAGAGACACGAUGAGACGGAGGAACACUCCGAGGAGCUCGAGGAAAGGCGGUGCAAAAGUGAAUGUGUACGUGAGAUUCCACCCAAACCUUUCCAAAGCGGACCCCCUCUUAAUAGUACGGCUUCCCUACGACUCAACUCCACCGAACCAAACCGUAGAGAAAGGCCGUCUUCUAUAAUCUCCGAGGGGCAUCAAAUCGUCUUGUGUUUAGUCGUGAUAUAUCUGAAAAGCUCAAUACACACGAUUAGUCCGCAAAGGCAUUGUCAUCAAUUACCAAAACUACAUAGGGACAAGAAUGCCCUUACAAUCUCCCCCUUUUUGGUGGAUUGAUGACAAUACAGGAUUUGCACAAAUGAAAUGAAUAUAGCACAAGCAAACCCCACAACUUCUAAAAUAUAGAUGAGCUCCCCCUAGAUUCGUGCUAGAGAGUAAAGUGCUUUGGACUGCACGUCACGAAUACUAGGAGCACCGCUCCCCCUAUAUUUUAGAAACAAAGCAUAUCUUGCAAUAGUAAGGCUGACACUAGAGAUGAUAUGAGCAUAACAUGAAUAGCAUGAUAAGCACAAGCUCAAUAAGGAGAUCACGAGAGAGUGCAUAUGUCUUACACCAUAUGAUAGACUUAGUCUCACGAGCACAACCAAACCAAAGCAAGCAGGUUCAACAAUGGAAAGCAAAGCAAACGACGAAACACACGACACGCACGCAAAUCCUACACUCUCUCCCCCUUUGGCAUCGAGACACCAAAAAGGCAGAGAGGUCACCUACAACACAGGUGGUAGCUCAGGCGGAAAACGACUCAUCGUCGCCAGACUCCGCAGCAGGAACAUACUCCUCCUCUGAAUCGGUCCAAUGGUAGCUCUGCUUCGCCAUCCAGGCAGUCUCUGGGGUGAUGUGCUUCUUAGAGCUGCUUGCCACGUCCUCCUCGCAAGCCCUCAAGAUCCUGAUGUCGCGACGGCGACUCUCCUUCUGAGCAACAUGGGCCUUGUACUGCCCCUGAACCUACAAGCAGAACAGCCUCUUCAUCUUGUCCUUCAGCUUCUUUGCCCAAGAAGGCUCAGCAGAGGGAGGCGUGAACGCAGAACGAUCCUCAGCAGCGUCUUCCUCCUCAAUCUCCUCCUCAUCAACAACCAUCUUGGCAGCCUCUGCAGCAGUGGUGGUGUUAGCCCAUUGGGGCUUGAUGCGAAGCUUGAUGGGCUCAUGACGAAUCCAGCCUGGUGCUUCAAACUCCUCAUUGGGGAGGAGCUUCUCCCACGUCUUGGAGAUCAGGUAAAACAGAUAAGGCCCAUAGAUGGGGACCUUACGGUUGAACACGGCGAACUGAAGCUCACACCACAUGAUAUGUGAGACAUCAAGUGGCUGAGUCUGAGCCUGACGGGCCUCCUCGCAAAGAAGCAUCAUGUCAACGAGAUAAGCAUGCACCUGUCCGAUGUCACCAAUGCGCGGGAAGAGCGUGUUCCGAAAGAGCCUAUGCAUGAUGUCAAGGAAGGGGUUGAGCACCCAUGCCUUCUUCUUGUUAGGAAGUGUCUUCUCAACAAGGUAUGGCAUGAGCUUGUUCUUGUUGGCAGAGUCAGCGUUGGCAUGAGGGCGAACUCCAACUGGCGUGUUGAGUCCUUCAUCGGGAACAAGGAGCAACUCCAUGAACUCCUUCCAGGUAGCAGACAACCGUCGACCAUUGGUCAUCCAAGUCAUGGUCCUCUCUUCAUUGACGUCGAAGUGGACCGAAGCAAAGAACUGUGCAAUGAUCUCUGGAUCAAAGUCCUUGUGGAAGGUGAGAAUGUGUUCAAUGCCGAACUGCUCCACAAGAUCCAAGGCCUCUCCAAAGUACCCACGGUGCUUCUCCUGCCUCAUGUGAGUCAUGUCAAUCCAGUGAACUUCAACAUAGAGAUUCUGCUUGGCCUUGAUCACAUCCAUAUAGAUCAGAUUCUGCUGCUUGUUCCAGAAGAGUUCAUUGCCCCGCGUGCUAGACCGGGGAGACACAUAAGGAUUGAUCUUUCUUCGAAUGACAAAUUCUGCCUGGGGCAUCUCAUCCAUGCCCAUGAAGGGAUCCUUCUGUUUGCUGGCAGUAUGCUUGGUCCUGCAUUGGGGAGCAGCAGAGGACCCCUCUGGAACAUCAUCUGGGUUGCGCAGACGCUUGGACCCUAUGUCACGGCUGGGAUUCGAGCGGCGAGGAAAACCGGAGCCACCACCUAGACACAAAGACACAAAGACACACACGGGAACAAAACGAAUCAAAAACAAACGAAAGAAAACACAAACACAUGCGACUUGGACAAAAGACAAAACGACGCAGGAUGAUCUACAGUAGUACCGGGCGGGGUUCCGGAUGUAAAAAAUUACAUCCGCGCCAACCGCGGAAGUAUCAUGACGCGGAAGCACGGAAGUACCGUGCGUGUGGCGGAAGUAAUUUUUUACUUCCGGACACCCAGCGAUAGUACCGCACCAAGGUGCGGAAGUACCGCGGAGUAUUAGAUCCAGAAGAGGCUGCGGUAGUGCCGCUCCAGGAGGAGCGGUAGUACCGCACGAAAGGAAAAACUGCCAUUGAGGACGCGGAUCUAGAUCUAGAACCGCCGCACGACAACUUCGGUACUACCAUUGAUCAAACGGAACUAUUUUGACUAUCCAAAGAGCAUGCAACUACUCUACCACUCUACAACGAAUCCCACUUGCACAUAUUUAGCCAAAAAUCUCAAGAACACCACAUGCAUCUCCCCAAAACCUAGAAACACAAGGAAGGACAAAAACGAGAGGUAUUUGGGGAAAAACCUAGGUCCAUGGCAAGAGGGCGAGGUGGGGAGCGAUCCCACCGGUCGGAAUCAGAGGAGAGCAGCCGGAGACGGAGAUCCGGCGAAGGCCUCCGGCGCCGUUCUUGGUCAGGAGAGAGAGAGACGGGGUGGGGAAAAGAGAUGAAUGGGUAUGGGGGAGUUAGAACUCCCCGUGUCCCGCUCUUAACCCCCACCUGCUCGCGUGGGCGCGGAAGUACCGCAGGUCAUCGCAGUAGUACCGCCCGGGUGGAAGUACCGCACGCUGAGCGGUAGUACUACUCGUUCAGCGGCAGUAAAAAAUUUCUGCCGCGGAAGUAGCGGUAGUACCGUGCCCCUGGAGGGCCACGCACUUGGAGAGACCCACCAACUCCUGCGGUAGUACCGUGGCACACCAUGGUAGUACCGUAAACCAAGAAAGAGCUAGGAUGCAAGAGAGAAGAAGGAGGAAAAAGCAAAACACCCACCGGGGAAACACCAACCAACACGAGAGAGAAAACAACUUCUCCAAGGAAGGGCGGUGGCCGGAGCCACCUAUAUUUGAGUCAAUUGGUAUGGCACCGCGAAGAAUUAUCCUUGGGUCCAUGACCAAAACUCGUCUUUGAAGCACAAGUACCAUCAAAAAUGGCUAAUGUGAAAGAGUUGAUUAGUAUAUGCAUAAUGGGGGAGGAAGAGUUCAUUGAGAGAACAACACUCCCCCUAUGUCCAUGCCUACAUCUAGACUAGACAACAAGUAGAGUGAGGAGGGGUGUGCACGGGCUCAAGUCACAUUGCUCGAAUCAAUGAUAUUUAGCUCAGGCCUUAACUCGCGAGAUCUUGCUUCAUCCAAGGGCUUCGUGAAAAUAUCUGCAAGGUUAUCAUGAGUGUUGACAUACUUGAGCUCGAUCUCCCCUCGCCUAAUGUGAUCCCGGAUGAAGUGAUACCGAAUCUCAAUAUGCUUCGUAUUGAAAUGUUGCACCGGGUUGAGAGAAAUCUUGAUGGCACUUUCAUUGUCACACCAAAGAGGCACUUUGUCACAAAUGACACUGUAUUCCUUUAAAGUUUGCCUCAUCCAUAAGAGUUGUGCACAACAACUACCAACCGCCACAUAUGCCGCUUCGGUGGACGAGAGAGACACACAACUUUGCUUCUUGGAAGACCAACUCACCAAAGAGCAACCAAGAAAUUGGCACCCUCCGGAAGUGGACUUCCCAUCCACCUUGUCUCCCGCCCAAUCGGAAUCCGUAAAUCCUUCAAGCUUGAAGUUUGCUCCUCUUGGGUACCAUAGGCCAAAGUUUGGGGUAUGAGCCAAAUAUCGAAAGAUUCGCUUGACCGCCACAAAAUGGCUUUCCUUUGGUGCGGCUUGAAACCGUGCACACAUACCCACACUCAACAUGAUAUCCGGUCUAGAUGCACAAAGGUAAAGCAAGGAUCCAAUCAUAGAGCGAUAUACCUUUUGAUCCACCGCUUUACCAUUGGGAUCAAUGUCAAGUUGGCACUUGGUAGGCAUUGGAGUGGAAGCCGACUUGACAUCACUUAGCUUGAAUCUCUUAAGCAUGUCUUGAGUGUAUUUGGCUUGGUUGAUGAAGGUACCUUCUCUUCUUUGUUUGAUAUCAAAACCGAGGAAGAACUUCAACUCUCCCAUUGAAGACAUCUUGAACUUAGAGGUCAUGAGAGCGGCAAAUUCUUCAUUGAAAGCUUUGUUAGGGGAACCAAAGAUAAUGUCAUCAACAUAUAGUUGGCACACAAACAACUCCCCUUUGACCUUCUUAGUAAAAAGAGUGGGAUCGAUUUGCCCAACUUCAAAUCCACGAUCUUGUAACAACUCGGUAAGGUGGUCAUACCACGCACGUGGGGCUUGUUUAAGGCCAUAGAGUGCCUUAUCGAGUUGAUACAGAUGAUCCAAGAAGUAAGGAUCCUCAAACCCGGGGGGUUGCUUAACAUACACCAACUCAUUAAUAGGACCAUUAAGAAAAGCACUUUUCACAUCCAUUUGUUGUAACUUAAAGUUAUGAUGGGACGCAUAAGCAAUCAACAAACGAAUGGAUUCAAGGCGAGCAACGGGAGCAAAGGUUUCACCGUAGUCGAUACCCUCGACUUGGGAGUAGCCUUGUGCUACCAAUCUUGCCUUGUUGCGAAUGAUGUUCCCAUGAGCAUCUUGCUUGUUCUUGAAAAUCCACUUGGUUCCAAUGAUGUUGUGGUUCCCCGAUGGCCUUGGCACCAAUCUCCAAACCUUGUUGUACUCGAAGUUGUUGAGUUCUUCAUGCAUGGCAUUGAGCCAAUCCGAGUCUUCGAGCGCCUCAUAGUCCUUUUGGGGUUCAACACAAGAGACAAACGCGUGAUGUUCACAAUAGUUUGCUAAUUGUCUAUGAGUGCUUACCCCCUUUCUUAGGCUUCCAACCACAUUUUCCAUGAGGUGGCCUUUGGUGGUGAGUUUGGAAGCAAUCUUCGCGGCACGACGCUCUAAUUCCUCCUCGGAUGUGGAAGGAGGAUGGUUAACUUGAUUAUCUUGAGCGACGUCUUGAGCUUGUUCUUGAUCUUGAGUUUGCUCAUGAUCUUGAAUCUGCUCGAGGGGGAGAACUUGACCUUGGGCAUCAUUUGGAGGUUCACAACUAUCUUGAGAUUGAUCUUGCCCUUGGUCUUGUUCACGAGGUUGAGGGCGUUCACUUUGUUCUUCGGAAGCGUGUGAGUCUUGAGUAGGUGAAGGCUCCACUUGAGUGGAGCAUUGUCCUUCUCCUUCGGCCACAAGAGGUUCCUCAAUGGGUAGAAUAUGACCAAUACCCAUUCUUCUUAUGGCUUGGGGAGGAAUUUCAUCACCUAUAUCACAAGUACCACUUUGCUCCACUUGGGAGCCGUUAUUUUCGUCAAACUCCACGUUACAUGUCUCCUCAAUGAGUCCGGUGGACUUGUUGAGAACACGGUAAGCAUGAGAGUUUGUAGCAUAACCAACAAAUAUGCCCUCAUAAGCUCUAGCAUCAAAUUUAGACAAACGAACACCUUUCUUGAGAAUGAAACACUUAGACCCGAACACCCGGAAGUACUUGAGAUUGGGCUUGUUUUCGGUGAGUAUCUCAUAAGGAGUCUUGUUCAAGCCUUUGCGGAGAUAGAGCCGAUUGGAUGCAUGACAAGCAGUGUUGAUGGCUUCGGCCCAAAAGUUGUAUGGAGACUUGAACUCCGCCACCAUGGUCCUUGCCGCAUCCACCAACGUCCAGUUCUUCCUCUCCGCAACACCAUUUUGUUGAGGGGUAUAUGGUGCAGAAUAUUGAUGCUUGAUCCCCUCAUCACUAAGAAACUCAUCCAAGGUGUAGUUCUUGAACUCGGUGCCGUUGUCACUUCUUAUUGUCAAGAUCUUUGCAUUAUGUUGACGUUGAGCUUCAUUUGCAAAGUCGAUGACGGUUUGUUGAGUCUUACUCUUCCUCUUGAAGAAGUAUACCCAAGUGUAUCUUGAAUAAUCAUCCACAGUCACCAAGAAAUACUUUCUACCCCCAAGACUAUCAAAGGAUGGAGGCCCAAAGAGGUCCAUGUGAAGGAGCUCCAAGGGGAUCUUCGAGUAGAUGAUAGUCGUGGGAGGGUGAGCCGUCUCAUGAAGCUUUCCUUCGAUACAAGCACUGCAAGCACGAUCUUUGGCAAAACUAACAUUUGUUAGUCCACGGACAUGGUCCCCCUUGAGAAGACUUUGCAAAGAUCUCAUAUUGACGUGGGCUAAACGGCGAUGCCAAAGCCAUCCCACAUCAACUUCAGCCAUUAGGCAUGUCACGGUCUUAGUGGGUUGCUCCGAAAAGUUAAUCACAUAGAGACCGUUCUCGACAUGCCCAACAAAGGCUACUUUAAGAGUCUUGCUCCACAAGAGGGCCACGGUAUCAAUAUGAAAGAAGGUGGCAAAGCCCAUGAGUGCAAGUUGACGAACGGAAAGUAAAUUGAACGCAAGGGACUCAACAAGCAUGACUUUCUCGAUCGUUAGAUCAUGAGAAAUGACAACCUUGCCAAGACCCAAUUCCUUAGAAUGUGAGGCAUCACCCCACUCGACAUUGGUGGGCAUAGAUGGGAUCUUUUGCACGUCCACCACCAAGUCCUUGCUCCCGGUCAUAUGAUUUGUUGCUCCACUAUCGAGCAACCAUGAUCCCCCACCGGAACCAAACACCUACAAGAGAUAAUUGCUUGGUUUUAGGUACCCAUUUAGUAAUGGGUCCUUUUAUGUUAGUAACAAGGGUCUUAGGCACCCAAAUAGACCAUUCAAUGUACUCAUAAGAAGGACCAACAAAUUUAGCAUAAACAUGCCCAUCACUAGCACGGCACAACACAUAAGAGGGGUUAAAGUCGCCGGCUUUGUUGGGAGAGAUGGCUUUGCCCUUUUUGGCAUCACCACUCUUCGCAUUGUUCUUCUUCUCCUUAGGAGCACCCUCUCCCUCCUUCAUAAAAGUUUGCUUAAGCGGGGGAGGUCGUUUGGUCUUGUUAUUCUUCUUCUCGUUCUUCUUCUUGUUCUUGGACUUGGGUGAGAACCCAACUCCCUCCUUGCCCACAACUUCCUUUUGAUUGCUCAAAAGGUCAUUUAGGUUCUUCUCACCUUGUAUGCAUGACACAAGACCUUUCUCGAGUUGUUCCUUCAACUUGGCAUUCUCCUCCACAAGAUGCACAUGCUCACAACACGGGUUAGUAGCAUUUGCAUUAUCAAUUAAGACCAUGUGAGGAAAUGUGGCCUUUUCCUUGGUUAGCUUAACUUGGAGUUGAGCAUGAGACUCCUUGAGGUUUGCAUGAGCACCUUUCAAGACAUUAUGGGCCUUGUCAAGUACAUCAAACUCCUCCUUGAGUCUAGCAUGAUCAACCCCAAGUUUAGUCUUCUCGGAAGUUAGCACACAAGACACAACAAGAGCAUGAUCAAGAUCUUUCUUUAAUUUGGCAUGGUCAUCGUUGUGUGACUCCUCAAGAGCCAAACGAUGCCCAUGCUCUUCCUCAAGAGCAUUAGAGAGAUCCGAUAUCUCAUCGGCAUAGUCACGACUAUGACCUUCCAUCUUAGAAAUGGUUUCUUCGUGAGCCUCGAUCAUGUCAUUGGCUUCAACAAGUUGUUCCAAGAGAGCAACGAAGUGCUUCUUGGAUUUACCCUUGAGCUUACUCAUGAAGGACUCAAAUUCAUUUACCUCCUCAUUAGACCCCUUACCAUCAUCAAAGCCAACGGUCAAAGAAGGAUUAGGAAUAAUGGUGGUUUUGAUGUUGGGGGUUAUCUUGUUGGUGGCUUUAGCCAUGAGGCACUUGGCGGUGAUGUUCUCGUCGGGUGAGUCGAAGAGAGACACCCGGGGAGUUGCGGCAAUGGCAAUGGAUGCCAUAGCCAUUGCUUCACUAUCUUCAUCAUCAUCGUCAUCCUCACGGUAUUCUUCUUGAACCACCAACCCACGAGUAGGAGUCUUCUUGGUGAAGUUGUUCUUGUUGGGGAAGGACUUGGCUUUGUCUUUUCAGAUGAACUUGCCACCAUUGUCUUCCCGCUUCUCGUAAGGACAAUCCGCAAUGAAAUGGCUCACAUUGUCACAGUUGAAACAAGUUCUAACUCGUUGCUUGCCCUUGAGGCCACUUGAGUUGUUCUUGUUGAAGUUGGGUCUUGUAUUCUUCUUGCUCCAAAAUUGUCUUGAGGCAAGAGCCAUGUGCUCAUGAUAAUCAUAUUUCGUGUCUUUGGGGUUGCUCUCCUCAUCUUCCUCUUAUUCCUCUUCUUCCACACUAACCUUGGCCUUCAAGGCAAGGUUGGGCUUCUUUGCCCUUUGAGAACGGAGCACCACAUUGUCGGCGGUCUUGUCCAAGAUGCUCAUUGCAACGAACUCAUCCAACACUUUGCUUGAGGUCAUGGAGUGGAAGUCCGGUCUUUGACGAAUGACGGAGGAUAUGGCCUUGUUGUAGGGCAUCAUGGCCUUGAGUAACUUGCGCUUGAUCCAAUUGUCAUCCGUGUCCUUGCUCCCAUGAUCUCGGAGUGAGACCGCGAGUUUGGUCACUCUUCGGAAGAGCUCACAAGGUUCUUCAUCUUCUUUCAUUGCGAACUCAUCGGCUUCAUCUUGCACCACUUCAUAGUUGGAGCGUUGAAUGCUAGCACUUCCUCGAUAGAGAGACACAACACAUUUCCAUGCGUCUUUAGCCACGGCAUGAGGUCGAAGAUGAGGGAGAUCUUCGGGAAGGAUUGCAUCUUGGAUGAUGAAGAGAGCACUCUCAUUGAAUUGAUUAUCCACGGCUUCUCGAGGGGUGAAGUUGCUUGGGUCAUGUGGAUAGAAACCUUCUUCUAUGAUUCUCCAAAGAUUAGUAUUCACAUGUUUUAAAUGACGCUUGAAACGAUAAACCCAAGAAUCAAAAUCCUCAUUUUUCACAAUCUUAGGAGGAGGACUGGCUUGAUUUAAAUGAGUAGAGGGAAUCGGUCCACCAUAAGUAGGAGGUUCCACAUGGGCAUAGAUGCCGGUGCCAUUUCUACCACUAGUAGAAGGACCCUUUUCACUAUUAGCAUCCCCCUUGUCGGAGUUAGCAUCCGUCACCUUGUUAGUGGGAUCACCCACUUUCAUCAGCGAGGUGGAUAGUUUAAGUCCUUCUAGGAAUUUAGUAAACAUGCUUUCAACCUCGGUCGUCAUGGAGGUUUUCAAUGUGUCUAAAGCCACAUUGAAUUCCUCACGGGAGACCGAGGUUCCCCCAUCGGUCGUAGAUGAGAUAGAAUUCACACUGGAGUGCUCCUCCGCACCGUCGUUGGUGUCAACCAUACUCUUCGGACGACAAAGUCCUUAAUAAAGAGACGAGGCUCUGAUACCAAUUGAAAGGAUCGAUAUGGUUGACUAGAGGGGGGGUGGGUGAAUAGGCAACUAACAAUUUUUAAGCUUUUCUUUAACAAAUUAAACCUUGCGACAAAAUAGGUUGUCUAGAUAUGCAACUAAGUGGACAACCUAUAUGAUGCAAAGACAACUAGCACACAAGCAAGCAAUAGAUACAACACAUGUAAGCUUGCAAAAGUAAAGGGACGAAAUAACCAAGAGUGGAGCCGGUGGAGACGAGGAUGUGUUACCGAAGUUCCUUCCUUUUAAGGGGAAGUACGUCUCCGUUAGAGCAGUGUGGAGGCACAAUGCUCCCCAAGAAGCCACUAGGGCCACCGUAAUCUCCUCACGCCCUCACACAAUGCGAGAUGCCGUGAUUCCACUAUUGGUGCCCUUGAAGGCGGCGACCGAACCUUUACAAACAAGGUUGGGGCAAUCUCCACAACACUUGGAGGCUCCCAACAACACCAAGAAGCUUCACCACAAUGGAGUAUGGCUUCGAGGUGACCUCAACCGUCUAGGGUGCUCAAACACCCAAGAGUAACAAGAUCCGCUAGGGAUUAGUGGGGGGAAUCGAAUAUCUCUUGGUGGAAGUGUAGAUCGGGGCCUUGUCACCCAAUCCCGAGCAAAUCAACAAGUUUGAUUGGCUAGGGAGAGAGAUCGGCCGAAAAUGGAGCUUGGAGCAACAAUGAAGUUUAGGGUUAGAAGAGGUGAGUCUUCUUGGAGAAGAAGACCCCCUUUUAUAAUGGGGGACAAUUCCAACCUUUGCCCACCACUCAGCCCGCGGCCCACGGAACUACCGCUCCACAGGCGCGGUACUACCGCACUAGCGUGCGGUACUACCGCGGUGGACCGCGGUACUACCGCGAGCACGGCAGAGACCUGACCAGGAAAAAAGGAGCACCGACAGGGCGCGGUAGAUCCGCAGGAGCGGUACUACCGCGGCCCCAUGCAGUACUUCCGCAAGGCAGACACGGGCCAGGCCUGGUAGGCACAGAUGUAAAAAAUUACAUCCGUGACUACCUCCGCUGACAAAAAUGUCGUGCAAAAAUCCGACACGGAACUACCGCGACCGAGAGUGCGAUACUACCGUGAAGGGUGCGGAUGUAAAAAAUUACAUCCGCCCCUACCUCCGCUCCUGCUCCGGAACCUGGCCUGGUGCCACGGUACUACCGCGCCACAGCACGGUACUACCGCGGGGAGCGCGGAUGUAAAAACAUCCGCGUCUACCACCGCUUGAGAGCGGUGCUAGACCAGAGCUCGCGGUACUACCGCUCGGAAGAGCGGUACUACCGUGGGAGCCUACGGUACUACCGUGCCGGAGCUAGCCUGAGAAGAGCAAGACUAAGGCCUUCAUUUCGCAGAGACACGAUGAGACGGAGGAACACUCCGAGGGGCUCGAGGAAAGGCGGUGCAAAAGGGAAUGUGUACGUGAGAUUCCACCCAAACCUUUCCAAAGCGGACCCCCUCUUAAUAGUACGGCUUUCCUACGACUCAACUCCACCGAACCAAACCGUAGAGAAAGGCCGUCUUCUAUAAUCUCCGAGGGGCAUCAAAUCGUCUUGUGUUUAAUCGUGAUAUAUCUGAAAAGCUCAAUACACACGAUUAGUCCGCAAAGGCAUUGUCAUCAAUCACCAAAACUACAUAGGGACAAGAAUGCCCUUACAGAGAGGCAAUGGAUGGCAGCAACGGUGUCAUGUUCAUCAGAAGCCAACCGGCUGGGCCGAAAUGGAGAAACUGUGUCGUGUUCAUCGGGAGGCAACAUAAUGCAUCGUGUUUAUUGGGAGGCAAUGGAAUAUGUCAUGUUCAUUAGGGGCCAACCGGCUUCUAUGGAAUAGCCGAAACGAGGUCUGGCGUACCACAGAACGGAGGAAACGGGCCUUCUGUUCGACCACAUACGGUCGAAAUGGGUCCUGUUCAUCGGGAAGGGUCUGGCCUACCGCAAAACGGAGGAAACCGACUUGCAUUCGAGUGCCUACGGUCGAAACGGGGCCCUGUUGAUAGGGAGGGGUGUGGCGUACCGCAAAACGGAGGAAACGGACUUGUCUUGGAGCGCUGACGGUCGAAACGAGGUCUUGUUCAUCCACCAUCUACUGCUGUGCCCCAGCCUCCACGAGCUACUGUUCAUCCACCAUCGACCUCCUCCAGCCUCCACCAGCUACUGUUCAUCCACCGGCUACUAUUCAUAGAGGCUCCAGAGGGUCCUGUUCAUCCACCCCCAACCGGCUAGGGUGCGAUGGCCUCCUUGGGGUCCUGUUCAUCACGCGGCAACGGCCUACUACCACGGGGUCCUGUUCAUCAAACCCCCACCGGGAACUGUUCAUCCACAACCAACCAACCGGCUCGACUCACCACGUCUUGACUCGUUCUACGUACCAUGUGCACGGUAGCAACGAUCACUGUUCAUCGAGAGUCAACCCAACACUGGCUGGCUACGUCUCGCACGGGGGCUCGAUCGGCUUCAGUAAGCAGCAGAUGCGAUCAAUCGCUCGGGUUCAGUUAGCAGCAACAGCGAAGGAAUCGCUCGGGUUUAGUCAGCAGUGAAUGAAUCACUCGAGUUCAGUUAAUAGCCAAGGGAUCAAUCGCUCGGCUUCAGUAACGUAGCUAGCAGUGCGAUUGCUCGGUUUAGUUAGAGCCCAACGUCUCGCACACACACAUGUACACGAGACAAACACACAAACCACAAUGCAUUGCCCAGCCCCGACCACCCACCGUAACCUGGAACUCCCCGAUAUUUUCCUCGCCCUUGCUUCUACCAUGAUUUUUCCCGUCAUGGACGGCCCAAAGAAUUUCGUGCAGCCGCGUCUCUGGCCUGCCCAGGAUGAAAAACCCAUUUUCAUGGACCUAUCAUCUCAUUUUCAUCCUAUGAAAUCUAUGAUUCUAUUCUCUAUAUAUGCAGCAUGGUCUAUUAUGUAGCAAUAGCACGGUCUAUUAUGCUCUGUUACCGGCAGUAAUGUCAGUUGUUCUCUAGUAUUUGUCAUCGUAGUGCUCUCCUUCCUGUUGUUCCAUAUUUUGCAGCUGCAUCUUUGAUGUGUAUACGUUGUUGAUGUGUUGUCUUGGUAUAAGUAAACCUGACUACUUCUGUCCUUCAUCGUCAAAUGAAGUCAUGAUAUGUUGUUAGCAACCUAGGACAGGAGGUAUUUGUUCAAGUUUGCAGUUCCUAGAUCCAUUGCUGAUGAAUAUGGAGUCAUUAAUAUUUAUUUUAUUUUUCCAAGAAAUGCUUCACUUGUAAGUUAUAACACCAGUCACAGACAACACACUUAAUAAUUUUCUCUUGUCCCCUAUUACAUUUGACAGGGUCGAUUCAAAAUCUUGUGCCUCUCUGGAUCAUACCUGGUGAUAGCUGACGGCGUUUCACGCACACGGAAUGGAGGUCUAUGCAUAGAGCUGUGUGGCGCUGAUCACAGGGUGAUUGGAGGAAGCGUUGGUGGAGUCCUGACAGCAGCCGGGAUAGUUCAGGUGAUCACUCGCUUCUUUUUUUUUUGCACUGAAACAUCAGCAUUUCAUUAAUUCAUCCUUGGUCUGUUGUGUUCCAGAAAUGAAUGAUGAGGUGAUUCUGCGUCUUGGUAUAGGUGAUUGUGGGGAGCUUCAUGUACGCGGGGUCGAAGAAGAGCCGGAAGGGCAAGGCCGGGCAGGAGUCUGCUAUGGCGGAGGAAGAACAGACCGGUGAUGCCAACGGGGGCAGGGGCAGGGGUGGAGACGGAGUUGGAGUCGAGGCGGAGGAAGAGGGGCCUUCGCCGCUGAUGCCGAUGCCCCGCGGAGAGGAGGAGCUGCCGUCGGACGCGAUGAUGAGCGGGUGGACGGGCAUGAUGUGGCAGAUGGAGUCGCGGUCCUGCAGCAUCGACAUCAACUCAAUCCGGGAGUGAAGGAUGUAGACUGUUUAAUUAGUUUGGUACGGCGGAAGUUGAGCCUAGGCUAGCUUAGCUAGUGGAUGAUGGAUGAUUGUAGGGUUUGGUUGGGUUGGUUGUGUUCCUCUCCAGCGUGGGUUUAAAAAGAAGUCUAGUUAGUAUAAUGAAUGUCGUCGUCGAGUAUGAUCAGUUUAACCGAUGAUGUUGGCGCCGGUCGGUCGGGCGGAUCUAUGAUGGAAAUAGUGGAUUCGGUUGUUGGUCGAUGGUCUGGUCUGGUAUGGUAUGGUAUGGUAUGAUGUAGUUAUAGGCAGCAGCAAUGAGCAACUUGUUUGUAGCUAGUCUUUUUCUUGGUUGCAGACAGACAGACAGACUUUGACAGUUUUGUUUUCCUUUCUCUUCUUGUGUUUGCAUCCCCUUUGCUUCUUUCUUUUCCUUCUUACUAUCAAA
rnacentral:lncRNA from 1 species